rnacentral:tRNA from 1 species
GGUUCCAUGGUGUAACGGUUAGCACUCUGAACUCUGUAUCCAGUGAUCCGAGUUCAAAUCUUGACGGGACCU